rnacentral:misc_RNA from 1 species
GUGAGUCAUCGAAUCUUUGAACGCACAUUGCGCCCGCCAGUAUUCUGGCGGGCAUGCCUGUUCGAGCGUCAUUUCAACCCUCAAGCCCCCGGGCUUGGUGUUGGAGAUCGGCGUGCCCUCCGGGGCGCGCCGGCUCCCAAAUAUAGUGGCGGUCUCGCUGUAGCUUCCUCUGCGUAGUAGCACACCUCGCACUGGGAAACAGCGUGGCCACGCCGUUAAACCCCCCACUUCUGAAAGGUUGACCUCGGAUCAGGUAGGAAUACCCGCUGAACUUAAGCAUAUCAAUAAGCGGAGGA